UGCCUCAGAAACAGGCAUUUUCCGACGCGUACCUUUCACACAGGUCUCCUGGGAGCUUCGAAACCUUUACAUCUACCCCAGUGUCGUAGUGACUAGCUAGUUUCAAGUGACCAAGCAUGUGCGCAGCCAUAUUUUCACUGCCAGAGGUAUGGCUUAUUUGCUCCCAGCCACCAACAACGCACAGACCUCCCUGGACCCCUUCUUAAUGAUACUCAAUUUAUUCUCGGAAAAAUGUAUAGGCAUUGGGUGAGAUGUAUUAAGAAUUAUGCCACACCAUACAAUUUCUCUUUAAUAUAUGAGUUCUUUUUUACUUUUUUUUAUUGGAAUACAAAUAUUAGGUAUGGAUUAUUUAGCUUAUCAAACCAUACAGUACUACAAAUGCUUCGGAUUUUAAGAUAAUAAGACACUAAUCUAAUCUAGCAUUACCUAACCCAACUUAAAUGAUGUGUAGCAAUAUCUAAUCCAACCUAACAUUACCUAACCUACAUGGGCAUGGCAUGCCUUCUACUGCUGCUGUUGAAUGGCGUCGCCUGAAGACGUUUGUUUGUUGCCGUGGCUGGGAGUGAAUGUGUCGUACAUCUGGCAGUAAAAAUGAGGCUGUGCACGCACUUCGUCACUUGAAAUUAACCGGUCACUUGAAUCUGCUGUUACGACCACAGUUCCCAGCCCCUUCACCAAGCUGCUACACCUCGUGUAGCUUCACUGAGCCACCUCUUAUGUGGACUCAAUGCAGGGCUCACAGAUGGGUGUACAGGGUCCCUUGUGACUCCUGCACCCUAUUCACUAUGGUCGUAACACCAUAGUGUUAGGGUUAGGUUAGUGUUAGGGUGAGGUUGCCAGACUAUUUUACCGGCCCACAGGCAAGGGCCCAGAUUCACGAAGCAGGUUGCUACUUAACAAACUGCGAUCAGCGAUAAAUAGGAGCCUCCGGCCGCCAAAUGGUAUCCGUGAACGUGUAGGAGGUUGUUGUUGCCGUGGCAGCAAGGUUGUUAACUAACACCACUUCCUGAGGUGUUAACAUCACCUUGGCGAAAACUCAUAUAAAUAUCUAUGUGCACAAAGUAACUUUUUUUUAUAAUUAUUUACAAGCUUUACUACCAAGAAAACAUGAUUUUGUGAUGCACAAAGUGAAAUCUUGCAUGGAACACAAAAAAUAAAGCUGGAAAACGAGGGGGCAAAUUUGUCCCAUGUGUGUGCACUCCCCAUUCUGCCUCCUAACAAGUAGAGCUAAUCCUCUUGUUUGAGGAGAUGCAACCUCAGCUUGAGAGGAGGACAAGGCGUAGCCAGGCAUUACCAACCCGCACCCAGGUUUUGCUGGCCCUGAGGUUGUUUGCCAGUGAGUCCUUCCAAAACUUCAUUGGAGACACUGCAGGCACCCACAUUGCCAUCAAGGCCCAGGUGUGGACGAGGUCCUCUACCCCCUGAACAUCCAACUUGUUUGUGAUGCAAAUGGAGUGAUCCUCAGCUACUGCUCCAAAUUCCCAGGUGCUACACAUGAUGCUUUUGUGUGGAGCAACUAUAAUCUGAAGCAGCAGUUUGAGAGAGGGGAAUCUGGUGAUUUCCUGCUUGUUGCUGCUGCAAUGAAUGCAGAAUGUUCCUCUGUACAUCAAGAGAUUGUUUGAACCCAAACCAUCUGCUGACUUGAAGGUGCCAUCGGUUGAAGUGCCUGGGACAUGUCUUGUAUAGCCAUCCCCUGCUCCUGCUCCACCAUCACCAGCUCGUCCAUGCUCAGAUGAAUCUGCUGCUGGUUUUCCAGCGCUUGAGACAGAACUUCCAACUUUGAGUGGCCACCUGAAAUACAGUUUAGAAGAAAACAUGACUUUAUACCACAAGUUACAAAAUAAAUGGUAUGUUAAGUUACAUGUCAUGCUCUCUUGCUGUGUCCUUUUACCUCAUUUGCUCCUUGGACCUUUCUGCUAUACCUAGGGUGGUGGUAUGACAUACUUAUGAAAUCAGCAUUUUAAAUGCCUGAGAGAUGUAUUCCUCAAAAAAAUAGGUCAAAGUAGCAAGAACAGACUUACUGGCAGGAAUUGUGCAUCUUGUACUUGGCUUGGGUGCAGCAGCUAUGUAAGGUGUAGCAGCUGGCUGGGGUGCAACAGCUAUGUGAGGUGCAGCAACUGUGGCUGGGGUGCAGCAGCUGGCUUGGGUGCAAGAGCUAGGUGGGCUGCAGCAGCUGGGUGGGAUGCAGCAACUGGCUGGGAUGCAGCAGCUGGCUAGGGAGCUGGAAGUGGUUGCAGAGCUGCCACUGGUUGUGGAGCUGAGGGCACCUGUGGAGCUGCACCUGGAUUUGGUAUGCUGAAGUAACAAUGUGCAAAUGAGGGUCAAAUAAAUUGUCUGCUAAUGUACUGCACAAAUACAAGGCAUUUCAUUACGAUAUUACUUGACUGUAAUAAAGAAAGUUGAAAAGUAUGGCACAUAUGAUAAAUGAAUAAUCAGUGUUCAUUGUACUGGAGGACAAAACUGAAUACAUGUUAACAUGUUAUUCACCAAUGAAUGUUGUCAUCUGUAACAUGAAUGAUUUAAACAGUGAUGUUCUUAUCCAGUGCAGAUGACUGCAAUACAGCUUUGCCAAAUCCAGAGGCCCCUGCAGACCCAGCAACACAAGCAGAAGAGGGUUGGAUGGCUCCAACACCACUGCUGGUGGAAGGCGGUGGUCCUUCCAGAGGCCCUGACACUUCUGGAAAAAACAAAAACAAAGUGCUUACAUUACUGCAGAAUGGCAGUCCUGCAAAUCUGUGGGAGACAACAUCUGCAGAACAACCAACUCCACAGCAGUGUUUGUUGUCUAAUCUGGAGGUCCCCCACCUGUAUGGAUAUGAAUGUUUCAAUUAUCAGCCACUUAGAAGCUCACAUGUAAAGCUAAAUCAACUUUGUGUAAAACAUGAAUGUAUUAGAACAUAUUGAUGUUAUUUAGCAUUGCAGUGGUCAGUGUCUCAGACCUGACCACCAGAGGUAAUGUACAUACUCCUAUUUAUAAUGCAUUGCUUAGCUGGUUCUUGGUUAUGUUUGUUGACUAUAUGAGUAAAUUUUGUAACAGCAUCAACAUUGAAAUACAACAUGUACACAAGAGCAAACUUCUUUUAUAUAACUACAGGGGUUUUAAGUACUGUUAACAAUCACCUAACCUAACUGUCCUAACCAUAACCUAACCCUCCUUCCUCAACAAAGCAAAACCAAUAUUCAAGAAAUAAAUUUAUUCCAGCAGUUUGGGUUCCAAAGGCUGAGCAGAAAGAAACAAUUUUUUUCUCCCAGUAUGUAACAGAAAGUUAUACAGAGGAAUUUGUUCAUAUUACUCAAAACAAUGUCCAGCAAUGCCCAAAACAUUAGUUAACUAAAUUCCAUAUGCAAUUAGGUCAAGACAAAAUAUUAAGCAAAUAUGCUAGUGUGGGUAAAUUUUUACUUUCAUCUGUUUAUCUUUUCCACAUGAAACUAUUUGUUAUUUGUUAUUUUUGGCCUACAUUAAAUUAGUAUGCUAA